UACGUAGGGAGCAAGCGUUGUUCGGAUUUACUGGGCGUAAAGGGCGCGUAGGCGGCAUGACAAGUCACUUGUGAAAUCUCUGGGCUUAACCCAGAACGGCCAAGUGAUACUGUCGCGCUAGAGUGCGGAAGAGGCGAGUGGAAUUCCUGGUGUAGCGGUGAAAUGCGCAGAUAUCAGGAGGAACACCAAUGGCGAAGGCAGCUCGCUGGAACGGUACUGACGCUGAGGCGCGAAAGCGUGGGGAGCGAACAGG
rnacentral:rRNA from 1 species